rnacentral:pre_miRNA from 1 species
UAAAAAAACAUUUCAAUGGGUUUGCAAUGUUUGCUUACGUUUACUGCUAGAGACGCUGUUCCAACUGCAUACAAAUCUGAGUUA